rnacentral:rRNA from 1 species
UACAGAGGGGGCAAGCGUUAUUCGGAAUUAUUGGGCGUAAAGGGCGCGUAGGCGGCUUGGCAAGUGGAUGGUGAAAUCCCUCGGCUUAACCGAGGAACUGCCGUCCAAACUGCUUUGCUUGAGACCGGGAGAGGUGAGUGGAAUUCCCAGUGUAGCGGUGAAAUGCGUAGAUAUUGGGAGGAACACCAAUGGCGAAGGCAGCUCUCUGGGACGGUACUGACGCUGAGACGCGAAAGCGUGGGGAGCGAACAGG